rnacentral:rRNA from 1 species
CAGAAGGCACACCCGGAGAACUGAAACAUCUUAGUACCCGGAGGAAGAGAAAGAAAAUUCGAUUCCCUUAGUAGCGGCGAGCGAAACGGGAAGAGCCCAAACCAACAAGCUUGCUUGUUGGGGUUGUAGGACACUCUAUACGGAGUUACAAAGGACGACAUUAGACGAAUCAUCUGGAAAGAUGAAUCAAAGAAGGUAAUAAUCCUGUAGUCGAAAAUGUUGUCUCUCUUGAGUGGAUCCUGAGUACGACGGAGCACGUGAAAUUCCGUCGGAAUCUGGGAGGACCAUCUCCUAAGGCUAAAUACUCUCUAGUGACCGAUAGUGAACCAGUACCGUGAGGGAAAGGUGAAAAGCACCCCGGAAGGGGAGUGAAAUAGAACCUGAAACCGUGUGCUUACAAGUAGUCAGAGCCCGUUAAUGGGUGAUGGCGUGCCUUUUGUAGAAUGAACCGGCGAGUUACGAUUUGAUGCAAGGUUAAGCAGUAAAUGUGGAGCCGUAGCGAAAGCGAGUCUGAAUAGGGCGUUUAGUAUUUGGUCGUAGACCCGAAACCAGGUGAUCUACCCUUGGUCAGGUUGAAGUUCAGGUAACACUGAAUGGAGGACCGAACCGACUUACGUUGAAAAGUGAGCGGAUGAACUGAGGGUAGCGGAGAAAUUCCAAUCGAACCUGGAGAUAGCUGGUUCUCUCCGAAAUAGCUUUAGGGCUAGCCUCAAGUGAUGAUUAUUGGAGGUAGAGCACUGUUUGGACGAGGGGCCCCUCUCGGGUUACCGAAUUCAGACAAACUCCGAAUGCCAAUUAAUUUAACUUGGGAGUCAGAACAUGGGUGAUAAGGUCCGUGUUCGAAAGGGAAACAGCCCAGACCACCAGCUAAGGUCCCAAAAUAUAUGUUAAGUGGAAAAGGAUGUGGCGUUGCCCAGACAACUAGGAUGUUGGCUUAGAAGCAGCCAUCAUUUAAAGAGUGCGUAAUAGCUCACUAGUCGAGUGACACUGCGCCGAAAAUGUACCGGGGCUAAACAUAUUACCGAAGCUGUGGAUUGUCCUUUGGACAAUGGUAGGAGAGCGUUCUAAGGGCGUUGAAGCAUGAUCGUAAGGACAUGUGGAGCGCUUAGAAGUGAGAAUGCCGGUGUGAGUAGCGA